AUGUCAUCCAUGAUAUAUGAGCUUGUGCACUUUCUUAGCAAAUUUGUUGUGAUCUUCAUUGAUGGCAUAUUCAUACAUCAUGAUCAUAUUGCCCAUCAUCAAUUGCAUGAUCACAUACUCAUCUUGAGCAUCCAUUGCCAUAUUCAUGCUAUUGAUAAACCGUCUCACUAUGACAUCAUUUUGCACCGUGGUUGCAUUGAUCGUAUUCAGAACACAUUUGUGUGUAUAAUGAAUGCUUUUGCUCCCAUGAAUGCUUUGCAUACCAUUCCAUCUCUUUUGGAUAAGCUUCAUGCACCUUGUCAUGAUAAAUCUUGUUGCACAAACUCUUUCUUACAUGAUGGACACUUUGUGUACGCUAACCAUUGUAUUUUCGAGUGUCGUUUGUGUUUGCUUUUCUUGCAUAUAUACCACUCCGGCGACAACUUGGAGUACUUGGAUGGCGCAAUGUCUUCAACUCCGUCCACAACAACCGUUCCCAUGGUGAUGAGGAUCACGAUCCAAGGUCGGAUCUUUCCCAAGGGAGGGGAGAUGAUGCGGAGCAUCCUACGAUCAUCCCCAUGUACACUCGAGCAUACGCCAUUGGACACAAGGUGA
rnacentral:rRNA from 1 species